UACGUAGGGUGCGAGCGUUGUCCGGAAUUAUUGGGCGUAAAGGGCUCGUAGGCGGUUUGUCGCGUCGGGAGUGAAAACCUUGGGCUUAACUCAGGGCUUGCUUUCGAUACGGGCAGACUAGAGGUAUGCAGGGGAGAACGGAAUUCCCGGUGUAGCGGUGAAAUGCGCAGAUAUCAGGAGGAACACCGAUGGCGAAGGCAGGUCUCUGGGCCACUACUGACGCUGAGAAGCGAAAGCAUGGGGAGCGAACAGG
rnacentral:rRNA from 1 species